AUUGUUCACUAGCUGAUGGCUUGAUAUUUUACAUCUCAAAGCUUGCCUUCAUUUCUAUCUCACUUGUUGGUCUCAAACUCCUAGAAUCUAAACCAUCAUAUUUACAAGGCCUCUCUACUUCAUCCUUCCCAACAUACCGCGACUUCUGAGAUGUCGGGAGAGGAAGAGUGGGGAGGCACCCUGUCUGAUUUUUGGCGGCCUCGCUUUGCUUCUCCUGGUGGGGAUUGGAAGUGGCAGGUUAAUACCCCGAGGACAAGAAGGAGACAAUAGAGCAAAGGAAAGGGUUAAAAGGCUGCCUUAAAAAAACCGCGGUACUUUAGCCCCAUAAAACACUCGUGUACAAAGACCUGGAAAAAGAAAAGAAAGAUUGUAUUACAAGCAACUAAAGCUGCAGUAUGACUGACACCUGAGGCUGCAAAUAUGAAUCAACGCCAGCAAGAUAAAGAGACCAGUCUAAGAACCUGAGAAUGAACUACAACAUCUGAACCAGGUGAUACCAAGUUGAAUUUUAAACAAGACUGAGUAAUAAUGAACUGAAAAGACCCAAAAAAUUCAAGAAAAAUUGGACAAAGAACUUUUUAAUCAGUGGAAAACAAUCUAGUCUGUCAGAUCUUCCUAAUUACUUGUUUCUUCACAGCUGAAAGAUAUGUCAUCCCACUGUGCAGUAUUACAAGUGCAUAGAGAUCACAAGAAGUAACAAAUCUAAUGUAACUAACUUCUUCUUGCCCCUUCUCACCACUUGAGUUGGUUAUUUGUUUUAACAUAUGCAAAUCAACUAGAAUUUUGGCUAAAUUAUUUUAAGUUUUGUACCUGAUGAGACAGACAAUAUUUUUUUGCCUCUUUUAUCUUCCCUAUCUUUCUGUAUGUUUAUUGAAAGAUUUUUGAAGAUGUUUUGUUUUGUUUUUAAAUAUAAGAAAAUAUCAGAUUUUUCCUGUGGUAAAAUAUGGGAGAGAAAUAGUAUAAAUGACAAGAUUCUUACUACUUUAAAAUAUCUUUAUCAUUUCAUUUGUUCAUUUACCAUCUUCUUCCCUGUUUAGUGAUAGCAUUUAAAAUUGUGUACCAUCAAAUGACACUAAAUUAUUGUGACUCUUACAGAAGUUGUUUUUAAAACUUUACUGAGUUUUCCAGCUUUUUGCAGAUGAGACCUGUCUCACAGAAUUAGUAGUAUUGUUUGCUGUUAAAAAGAAGUUUUCAUCAAGGUUUCUGAAAAGUUCCUAAUCUCUCAAGUCAAUGCAUGGCAGAUUAAGUAGAUGUUUGCCUUAGAGAGAAAUGAAUCCUAUAGUGUAUGUGUCUUCCUAAGUUUUCCUAGAGUAGUGAAGGAAAAAUCUUCAAGGAUAAGCAAGAGUUCGUUGUCCUCCUGCCCCAAAAACAAGCUGGGCAGGAGAUCUGCCCACCAGAAACUUUCAGUAUUGUAAAGCUCUAACUUUAAAAUAUUUACUGGAAAUUAAAGAGUUAAAAACAGCCCAUAGUACCCUAGUGGAGAAGAAAGAAGUAAAAAAGUAAAAUAGUUUUUUUUUUUACCCUCUGCAGUUUAACUUAUUUUUGUUAUUGAGUAGAUUUUUCUCUUUUAAGUUUCCUUUUAACCUGUCCCUCUGCAGUUUAACUUAUUUUUGUUAUUGAGUAGAUUUUUCUCUUUUAAGUUUCCUUUUAACCUGUCCCUCAAGUCUGGCUGCAUUUCACAAAAGGUAGAGGCUUUUAAAAGAUACUGUGACACCAAAGGUGUGAGUUAGUCCCCUGGAAAGGAGAACGGCACCCUAAGUUCAGUAAUGCCAGAGUCUCCUAAGAGCUCAGUAAAAAUUCUUUCCCACCACACGCCAAAGAGCUGAAGAUUGCCUGCAAGAGUCACAGUGCAUUAACUGGCUAAUUCAAAGAUGCAGUUAUUUCAGUUUUGUUCAAAAGUGCAGUCUAGCCUGCACAGUUAGUUGUCAGCUCUAAAAAGACUUUGUGGCUAGCUUUUAAGACUAAAUAUAUAUAUAUCCUUGUAAAUAGAGAAUUACUAGUGCCUGUUAAGUAAGCAAUACCUGAAGAACAGUGAGAAACUACAGUUAAGAAGUGUCAAAGAUGAUUUGCCUAGACAUUAAAAAAAAAAAAAAAAAAAGUGACAAAGAAAUAGAGGGCAAGACUGGGUUGGCCACUGUACUCCCCAUCCAUCAAGAAGAUCAUAUACACCUGCUGUGGGUUGCACACCCAUAGGCAGGCAAGGUAGGUGUAUAAGCCAUACUGGACCUCUGUUAUUCCUUUUACUGUCACUCAUUUUUUUGUCUUUUCCCUCCUGGGAUAUCGGCAGUGUCAUGUCACAGGUGUUACUGAAAGCUGUAUAUAGAAAGACACUUGUGGAAUUGCAUUUUAUGGAAAUUGUAUGCUCUGGCUCACCCCUGGAAAGUGUAUGGUUUAUCCUAAGUCUGUAACCUCCCUGCAGUAUCGUGUAUAUGUAACUCUAUUGACUAGAGAAUCUUACCGCGCCUACUUCGAAACUCCCUGUUAAGAAUGCAGGGGGAAGUAGGCUCGUCCUCUUUGCCUGGGAAGUCUCCAGAGGCUCCGCUCUUCUCCCCUUCUCUCUCUCCCCUUCCCCCUCUCCCUCAGUGACCAUGCUGCCUUCCCCGGGUAAGACUCCAAAUAAAUCCUCAUUUCAUCAGCACCUCACCAGCCGUCUGGAGUCUCUUUGCCUGCCUGCAUGCCAACACCCACGACCCUAGGACCCGGGGAACCCUCCCCGGGGACCCCUGCCAUAAAAUCUAAAAUUGCAACAGACACCGAAGUUUCUUUUUUAUCACACACACUUGUGUUGACAGCCACUGUUAUAUAACCCAUCCAAAUUAAGUAAUUGUGUGCACAACGAGAAGAAAUCCUGGAUUGUAGAAAACUUAAGAACAAGUAGUAACAAGUUGAGAAGUAAAUACCCAAAAAGAGAGAGAUAGAUUUGUUUUAAAGCACCAGAUGGCUUAUUUUAGAUAUGUAGAAAAAGAACCUAUCCAAGACUCCCUUCCCUGUAGAAAAGGAGUUGUACUCUGAGAAUCAUACAACCAAGAUUUUUUUACCAAUACCAAAUAGAGAUCAAUUAAAAAUACCAGUUAAUGAAGACUUAAAUAAGAGAUUUGAUUGAAAGUUUUCAAAAGUGAAGAGAUGAAUACACAGAGACUUCAGGCAUAUGCAGCACAAUAAAAAAAAAAAACCUUGAAAGGACUGUAGUACAAGAGAAUGAGUCUGUUUUGUACAUGUGGGGAAGUUUUUCCCAUGCUGUCCCAUGAGGUAGGUAUACAUCCCACACAUUCCAUAGGAAAAGGCACCAUAGUUCAGCAACUUAUUACAGUUGUAUCUCAAACAUGUCAGGUUCCAAUUUCCCAUGUCCUUUACUGACCCCACCUACUCAGAAUUGUUCAGAGUUGCAUAGAUUAAAGAUCCUGUGUCAAGAGGGUAGAGCCACCAGUUAGAAAACUCAGGAGGAACUCCCAUCAGCUCUUUCCCACAGAAAAAGAACACCUUAAGGGAAGUGACAUGGAAGUAAAAACGUUUUUAAUUGUGAAAAAUGUAUAUGGAGCUCCUUAAAAUGAGAUUUGUGUUGAGACUGCUGAGGUGAAAGUUGAGGGAGCUGUGGCACAGGCCUUUGUGUCCCUUCACUGCCCCGCGCUGAGGCCAAAGGCAGUCAGAGCUGUGACCGAGCUGUGACAUUGCUGCACUGCCGGACACAUCUGAGCUCACACAUCCUGGAGUCUCCUCUCUAGGAAAGGAACCAAACUGAACACCGGGACUGCUCCAUCCAUCCCCUGGGGUAAAGCAGCUGGAAGGUGUCCUCUGGACAAGGACAGUGUGGGGCACUCAGAGCUUUGCAAAGCACCCACGCAGGGAACACCUUCCUCACAACAUAAGUCUGUGACAGACAUGUCCAAACCUCUGCACAGCUGCUGAAAUCCAGAAUAAAAUGAUGCACAACAGAGCAAGCUCAUGAAAGUUUACAGAACUUAAAUAUUUAUUUUUAAACCAUUUUAAACCCCCCAAAACAUUGAAGCUUCAUCUAUAAACAGAUUUACAAGACUAAGAACUACAGAAGCUAGAGGAGCACUAUAAUUUGUUUCUGUGAUGCAGUUAUUUUGUAAAGCUUCAGAUCAACUCUAUUUACAACUUUUGCUGCUUUUACAUUUAUAAAAAUAUUUAAUCCAUAACAUUAUUGUUUUCAAAAACUAUUUCCAGAUUUUUUCUCAGAUAUAAAUUCUUAUUGAAUUUCAGUUAUAUAGCAGACGAAAGUUUUAAACAGAAACAUUUUUUUUUAAAUUAAAACAAGGAGUUAAAAGUAAUUUUUUUACAGUGUAGGCACCAUUGAAAAAAAUUGUCCUUGGCAUAUCUAACCACCAUCUCUCACAAGUGUCCUUUAAAUAAAAACGAUGCAGUGGCAACAUUUGAUGAAAAAUGCAGUAUUUACUUGUACACCUUUACUUUUUCAAUAUUUGGCAGAUAUAUUUCAGAUUCUUUAAAAUGACUUUUGUGCAAAAACAAAAUGUGCAGGUCUGAACCAUAAAAUAAACACACCCAGCCUUUAUCAAAAAUAAAUUUACACCAAUGGUUCCACAGCUAAGUACUGAAAAACAAU